UACAGAGGGUGCAAGCGUUGCUCGGAUUUACUGGGCGUAAAGCGUACGCAGACGGCCACGCAGGUCGGGUGUGAAAGCCCCGGGCUCAACCCGGGAAUUGCAUUCGAAACCAUGUGGCUCGAGUGUGGGAGAGGGUAGUGGAAUUCCUGGUGUAGAGGCGAAAUUCGUAGAUAUCAGGAGGAACACCGGCGGCGAAGGCGGCUACCUGGGUAGAUACUGACGCUGAGGCGCGAAAGCGUGGGGAGCAAACAGG
rnacentral:rRNA from 1 species